rnacentral:lncRNA from 1 species
CCCUGCUCCCCAGGAAGGUCCUUGGGAAGAAAGUAAUUAUGGGCUGUGGUGUUACUGAAAUCUGAAAAACUCAAGGAAGAAGUCUGCCUGCGCCGUGGUCAUUGAUUCUUUGCUUCUUUAAAUGUAUAGCUGAGUCUAAAGACUUGUCAGUCAAGGCAGGAAGAUUAGCCUCACCCAUGUGAAAGGAAGAUGGGGAAGAAAAAAAAAAGCCUUGUCUGAACUUGAAAAUAAAAAUGCUGAUGUGGUUUUUAUUCCAAAAACAUAUCUUACUGAUUAGGAGCAUGGAGCACCACUGGAUCGUGGGUGGGCCAGCUGUACUUGGCCUCCCCACUCUGCUGGGCCAGGCUGUCCGCCCGCAGGAUGUCAGAGGCAGGGGCCCAGUGGGAUCUUUGCUGAUGGGUGUGGCGUGUGCACACGUGCACACAGGCACUGAGACGGUGCCCUCGGUCAGCACAUUCACCUUCAGGCAGGAGACAGAAGGCGAGUCCCUGUGGAAGCAGCAUGGACCCGGAGUCAGAUGGGGCUGGGUUUGAACCUAGAGCUGUCAUUUACUAACUGAGUAACCCUGGGCAGGUGACAAAUGCUUUGAGCCUUUGUUUCAUUGUCUGUAAGACAGGGAUCGUGGCACCUACUUUGUUGAGGUUGAUGGGGUAAUGCAUGCACAGCCCAUGGCCCCGCCGACACAGGAUAGACGCUCCAUGAAAGGCCACCAUGCCAGGGACUAGUGCGGUGCAUGGCCAUACUGCGGCCCUCUCCACCGCCCCCUACCCACCACCGCCCCCUGCCAUCUGAGGCAGGCUUUGCCCAGGCAGCCUUUCCCUCUCUGGGUUUUCUCCCGAGGGUUUGGGCUGAAGGACAGGCCUUAGCCUUGGUGGGCCUCAGUGUCCAUGACUGUGAAAUGGAGCCGACACCUCUGCAGCUUCGACCACACAGGGCUUGUGGCUUGGCAUGGCCGCAGACGCACUGCCAGGCCGGCAGCCUUCGCCAAGAACUGGAUUCCUCCCGGCCUGGCCCGGCUCGGCUGGCAUUCUCGCCAGUUUCAUUGGGUUGAGUUCCAGAGCGAUGGCAGCGAUUGAUAAUGCUGUAAUUGGAGUGACUUGGGUAUUUUCUGAGGUGUUGCCACGAUGACUCAUACUAGGGCAAGUUGAGGGCCCGCACUGUCCAGCCGGAGUCGGUUAGAGACCCUCAGGAGGCUCACAGGCUCCAGGGCCUGGAUGUUAGGAUGUGAGGCCUGGGGUUACCGAGAUCCCACACCCAGGAGAUGCUCGCGUGGAGCCUUCGCUCACAGCGGCCUGCGCGAAUGGGGCUUGCUCCGAGAGGUUCAGCUGGCACCGAGAGCUGGCACCGAGAGCGUUUCCAGCUGCAAUCUGUUCCCAGCAAUUAAUAACUGUAAAUAACAAGUCCGCUCCUCCGCCUGGCUCCGCGCUACUCUCCGCUUCCCUCCCAGCCCCUCAGCUGCUCCCCUUCCCGUGCCCACCCUCCCUCUCCUCCCCUCUUUCCUUCCAUGUCGUCGAGAGGUCCCUGCCGUCCCUUCCCCGGGUCCCUCUGAGAACACCCAGCUCCCUUCCCGUAGGCCAUGGGGGAAGGGACGAGCUCUGGCGCGGGGCAGGCGGGUG